GAUGAAGAACGUAGCGAAAUGCGAUAAGUAAUGUGAAUUGCAGAAUUCAGUGAACCAUCGAAUCUUUGAACGCACAUUGCGCCCCCUGGUAUUCCGGGGGGCAUGCCUGUUCGAGCGUCAUUUCACCACUCAAGCCUCGCUUGGUAUUGGGCAACGCGGUCCGCCGCGUGCCUCAAAUCGACCGGCUGGGUCUUCUGUCCCCUAAGCGUUGUGGAAACUAUUCGCUAAAGGGUGUUCGGGAGGCUACGCCGUAAAACAACCCCAUUUCUAAGGUUGACCUCGGAUCAGGUAGGGAUACCCGCUGAACUUAAGCAUAUCAAUAAGCGGAGGA
rnacentral:misc_RNA from 1 species